ACCGUCGUCCUGUUUUGCUUGUGGGACCGUCGGCUCGCCAGGCGCCGACGGCGUGUCACAAGAGGGGUUCUGCUCGGCGACGCGGGCCGCCGAAUCUACAGCAGGCGGUCCGUUGGAUGCCAGGGACCGGGUGCCGUGUUGUGCGCUCUGUGGAAACCACGCCUGCUCGGCGACGGCGACGGCCUGACCGGCGGGCAAUGGCGGCCCAUUGACGAUCGCCCUGGAUUCGGUCGAAUCGCGUCCCGACGUGCAAGCAACAGUCCAGAUCUUGUCGAGGGUGGUCGCGCUGCAAUGGACCGGAGCCGGCGACUCGGUGACCGCCAGAGGUUCGCGUGCCGUGUGGGGUGCGGCAUCGCGUACGCUGGGCAGCGCAACCCUCGCGCUGCAGGCGUCGCCAACAAAUGGCGCGUUGGUCGCAUUGUCCCUCAAAACGGAUGGUUCUGCCGCAGCCCUAAACAACCGCGCACAAUCGGGACCCCGUUGGUAGGCGUCGACGCGAUCGCGCUCGGUCGUGUCGCCCAAAAGCACGCUGACGUCGCGAAGGAACGGGCCUACGCGGUCAACGUCGACCACGCGCUGGGGCGCGCCCGAUCCGGCCCACUUUUUGGCAAAGUGCCACGUGCCGGCGCGCUCCAGGCCCGACAUGAUCUGCGCAUAAAGCCGGCGAUCGCGCGCCUCGGUCGAGCCACCCGUUGCGCGGCGAAAGAGGUCGACGGUCGAGAUGGACGCCCCAUCAGGUGUGAGGCGCAGCGGCGGCGACGUAUCCGACACCGCGUGCCGGGACAAGUGCUCCCAGUAGGACGCGCACGAGCGCGGCGCGCACGGCGAUGUCGGCUCUGGCGGCAUGCGCUCCCAUGCCUCUGCGGCAGUCACGCCCUGUGCGUCGAGGUUUUGCGAUCGCGUGCCCUGGGCGUCAAACCAUCGCAUAAAGAGGGCGCGGGCCGACACCGGCACGUCGUCGGGCCCACAGUCGUCGAGGACAACGCCUCGGUCGUCGCCCAAGCGCUCCGGCGUCUCUCGAUUGCUGCGCGCUUGCAAUUCCCUGAUCCGUGCCAUCGACCGGUCGAUGCCGCCCACGCCCACGAGGACACCGGACAGGUCGCGAUGGAGUCGCGGUCGUGCAAAUGAGGCGCACAUUGCCAUGAUUCUGUCCAUUAUGGUGUUGUCGGCGCUGUGCCGCUCCGGAUCGCAUGGCCACAGAGAUUUCUGUAUCUUGUCGUCCAUCCAGCCGGGCGCUUGCAUACUGGCGCCUAUUGUCCUCCCUCUUUGCCCGGUCUGCGUCCGCUGUGCCUGGCAGAGAGUGCACACACAAGGCAACGACACGCGCCCUCCCCUGCCUUUGUUCCGCGCCUUGGGCGUCCUUCCAAUAGACCAACCGCGCUGCUGACGUGGCCCAUCCAAUAAAACACGGCUUUUCAUUUGUCGCUGUUUAUAGACCUUUUUUUGCCUUUUGUCUCCCGCUGGCGGCAGCGGUUUCGGCCGGUCGGCCGCAC
rnacentral:lncRNA from 1 species